rnacentral:lncRNA from 1 species
AACUCUCACAGUUCCAGAAUCCCACACUGCCCCCUUUACCCAAUAUGGCCUUUCUUCCCGACCAACUCUUACCUGCCUUCUAGUUAAUCACCUCUCCCUGGUCCUCUCCAUCAGCUGUGGCUCAGUGCAAGGUCUUUCCUAUGGGCUUAGAGACCUUUACCACACACAGCAGCAGACUGAUUUGCUCCUUCAUUAAUCUCUAUCUGCCUCUUCAGGUUAAACCCCGGCACACGAUAAACGUUCGUGUGGAAGAAUGAUUGAAUGAACAAAUGUACAACACUGAAGGGCUGGUGUGCACCCAGUAGAAGGCCAAGUGCCGGCAGUCAUUUCAAGUUCCUUGGGAAGUAAGAAGGCACCUGAAUCAUAAAAAUGGAAUAAAAAACUUUAAAUGA